GCAAUCGUCUUUGACGAUUUUGUUGACGAUUUUGUUGACGAUUUUAUUUCCUACUGCGCAUGUGGCGCAGCGAAUUUUUAAGACGAUCGUCAUAAAAAUCGUCUAGUGGAGAUCCGCCCUUACGGCAGCGAAACAUACCACUGCAUAUAAUUUAAAUAAAAACAACAGAUAGACAAAUGGUCGUGGUAUUUUGAACAGACUAUUGAUCUAACCAAACUUAAAGACAACUCAACAAGUGUGAUCGCAUGGAACCUUCAUUAUACAUCAAAGUUGUUGGAUCUUGGUUAAAAAGUAAUGACACAAGAAAUGCAAUUGCAAACACCCCACAGUCAACGUAAUUGAAUUGAUAGUGGACAUGUGGUAUGUUGAUUGUGAUUGAUGGUGUUGGCUCAUGGAGUAGGUUGGCAAUUUGUUUUUCUGUUAAAGAACUGACUCUUCCAUUGUACAAACUGUCAUAUAAAUUGACUGAAGCAGGCUGACAGUCAAUAUUUGAAACCAAUACCCAGUGAUGAAUACCUGUGUGGAGAAUCUGGAAAAAAGUACCCCGAUGUACAGAAAAAUUGGUAAAAGGGCCAAGUGUUGUGUUUUCUAAACCAAGUACGGCAGGAAAUUGUUUCUGCAAAACAUGUGCAGCACCAAUGAUGUGAUCUGUUAACUCUUUUCUGGUGAUGAUUAUAUUUAUGUCAAUGUUACUAAUUUUAAAAAAUCCACGCUUUGGGGUCUGAACGAUCUUUUCCAGUUUAUCACCUGAUUCUUUGUUCAAGGGCUCAAUAGGUCUGUAAUGGGAAGAGUUUAUUUCAUCUGUCACAAUAUUUGAAUCAUUUCGUCCAA